rnacentral:lncRNA from 10 species
CCUGGAGCUGGCACAACUGUGCGCCCUGAAACAUUGAACUGGGUUGGUCCUCACUGGGGCUGCUAUGAUAGAAUCAUAGCAGCAGGAGCAGUGGUAGCAACAGCAGCAGCAGGAGCAGCGUGACUACUAGAAAGAGAAGGAGAGUGGAUGCUUGGGGACCCACGAUUUCAGCAGUAACUUUGCAGCCAUGGCACCUGUCAUGGUGGGAGAUGCUAUCCUGGCAUUAGUGGUGUUUGAAAGGGAGCCUGGGAACAAGGUGGACCUGACAGAACUAUGCCAGGGAAAGAAGGGUGUGCUGUUUAGAAUCCCUGGGGCUUUCACCCCAACUGUCAAAGACCCACCUGCUUGGGUUUGGGGAGUAGGCUGGGGUUCUGAAGGUAAAGGGGGGCCAGAUCCAUGUUUAAGUGCCACUGUCUUUGUGUCUUUGUGACUGGUGAGUGGGGACAGGCCACAGUGCAGAAGGCCAAGGCCAGCUCAUGGGUGGCAGCCCUGGGGCCUCUGGGAAGGAGACUGAUUUGUUACUAGAUGAUUUGCUGUUGCCACUCUUUGAGGAUGAGAGCUUGAGAGGUUCUUCCUGGUGAUAGAGGAUGGUGUGGUGAAGGCCUUGCAUGAACCUGACCAUACAGGCCUCACCUGCAGCCUGGUCCCCAGUUCUAUCUCACAG